AACCCAUGUUGUGGACACUUCCUCAAGAGGUCCUUGAAUUGUUCCCAAGUCUCAAACAAAGUUUCAAGCUCCAUCUAAACAAAUGAAGAUAUCCCAUUAUGAAGGUU